AACUGCGGAAGGACAU
rnacentral:rRNA from 1 species